AAAUUCACUCCUACAGGCUUGUUAUUGCUCUAGUACUAUUUCCACCUGAAAAUAUCUGAAGAGAAUUACUGCAUUUUUAAGUUUCUGCUAACAAAGAUAUAACAUUGUUUGGUGGGCUCUUUGUCAUGUAAUUCAGAAUGCAAAAAAAAAUUACACAAGGUAGGUUGACAUUCCAGCUGUUGCACUUGCCCUUAUGCAGAUUCAAAGUGUAUAUAGGAAAGUCCAAGUGUUAUGUUGGUAUGAACAUUUUCACAUUUUUAAAAAAUAAACCAAUAAGUUAAAUUUAAUGUUAUUUUCCUGACGCCAACUGAUUUAUUUAUUUAUUUAUUUAUUUAUUUAUUUAUUUAUUUUCUGAUAGUAACAGUUCCUCUGUGAUGGUAAAUAUAUCUGCAAGUUGUCAGAUCAUCUCAAUGUCAAAAUUUUGCUUGAAUAUAUGAAACCAUUUAGAAAAUUCAUACCUUUUACAUUGAUCCCAUUUUGCCAAUUUCAUUAUCUAAAAAUCCAACUUAAAAAAAAUAAUAAUAAUAAUUUUAAUUAUUUCUCCCAGCUCUAGAAAGCAGGUACUGCACUUCAUUAUGAGGUCAUGUUGCUACUGUGAAGCACACAUGAGCAAAUCAAUGCUGAGAAUGGCAACAUGCCUCAGUGAUUUUGGACUUCAGCACAAUUUGUUGAGAACGUGUCUCCUCUUGAUUAAUACUUUCAGACAGCAGAAGGGUGAGGACAUCCAAGCUUUUCAGCAUCCAGAGAGGUCCCCAUUGAUAUGUUUUUGCAGUGUGGACUGCACCUCCUGAGGAAGGCCCCUUGUCUGACCAGCUUUAAGCCUCUUGGAACCUAGUCAUCUCCUCAGGGAUGUGCCUUUCAAAUGCAAACACAUUACUUCUGGGUAUGGUUGUCAGCAUGAUUCCUUUAUGCUCAAGUUUCACAAUAUUUUCGUGAUACUGGGACUGAUGCAGCUUAGGCUGUUGUCAGGAUCAGGUUAGGAAAGUAUAUGGCAACAGGCAAGCUACAGCAGACCUUGUCAUGGAUCUGGGGGAGCAGGCUCUCCCCAUGGUGGCAGAGCAGGGCAGGGCCUAGCAUCCAGGGCCUAACCUAUCACCCCA
rnacentral:lncRNA from 1 species